UACGUAGGGCGCAAGCGUUAUCCGGAAUUAUUGGGCGUAAAGAGCUCGUAGGCGGUUUGUCGCGUCUGCUGUGAAAACUCGGGGCUUAACCCCGGGCCUGCAGUGGGUACGGGCAGACUAGAGUGCGGUAGGGGAGACUGGAAUUCCCGGUGUAGCGGUGAAAUGCGUAGAUAUCUGGAGGAACACCGGUGGCGAAGGCGGCAUCCUGGACCAAUACUGACGCUGAGGAGCGAAAGCUAGGGGAGCAAACGGG
rnacentral:rRNA from 1 species